AAUGCCUAGGAAUCUGCCUGGUAGUGGGGGAUAACGUUCGGAAACGGACGCUAAUACCGCAUACGUCCUACGGGAGAAAGCAGGGGACCUUCGGGCCUUGCGCUAUCAGAUGAGCCUAGGUCGGAUUAGCUAGUUGGUGAGGUAAUGGCUCACCAAGGCGACGAUCCGUAACUGGUCUGAGAGGAUGAUCAGUCACACUGGAACUGAGACACGGUCCAGACUCCUACGGGAGGCAGCAGUGGGGAAUAUUGGACAAUGGGCGAAAGCCUGAUCCAGCCAUGCCGCGUGUGUGAAGAAGGUCUUCGGAUUGUAAAGCACUUUAAGUUGGGAGGAAGGGUUGUAGAUUAAUACUCUGCAAUUUUGACGUUACCGACAGAAUAAGCACCGGCUAACUCUGUGCCAGCAGCCGCGGUAAUACAGAGGGUGCAAGCGUUAAUCGGAAUUACUGGGCGUAAAGCGCGCGUAGGUGGUUUGUUAAGUUGGAUGUGAAAUCCCCGGGCUCAACCUGGGAACUGCAUUCAAAACUGACUGACUAGAGUAUAGUAGAGGGUGGUGGAAUUUCCUGUGUAGCGGUGAAAUGCGUAGAUAUAGGAAGG
rnacentral:rRNA from 1 species